rnacentral:rRNA from 1 species
AUUGAACGCUGGCAGCAUGCCUUACACAUGCAAGUCGAACGGCAGCAUAGAGAGCUUGCUCUCUGAUGGCGAGUGGCGAACGGGUGAGUAAAGCAUCGGAACGUACCGUGUAGUGGGGGAUAACGUAGCGAAAGUUACGCUAAUACCGCAUACGCACUGAGGUGGAAAGCAGGGGAUCGCAAGACCUUGCGCUAUACGAGCGGCCGAUGUCAGAUUAGCUAGUUGGUAGGGUAAAGGCCUACCAAGGCGACGAUCUGUAGCGGGUCUGAGAGGAUGAUCCGCCACACUGGGACUGAGACACGGCCCAGACUCCUACGGGAGGCAGCAGUGGGGAAUUUUGGACAAUGGGGGCAACCCUGAUCCAGCCAUGCCGCGUGAGUGAAGAAGGCCUUCGGGUUGUAAAGCUCUUUCGGCCGGGAAGAAAUCGCACAGGCUAAUACUCUGUGUGGAUGACGGUACCGGCAUAAGAAGCACCGGCUAACUACGUGCCAGCAGCCGCGGUAA